UGCCUGCCUCAGCGUCGGG
rnacentral:rRNA from 1 species